AUUGAACGCUAGCGGGAUGCCUUACACAUGCAAGUCGAACGGAGUGGCGAACGGGUGAGUAAUGUAUCGGAACGUGCCCAGUAGCGGGGGAUAACUACGCGAAAGCGUAGCUAAUACCGCAUACUAUUGGAGCGGCCGAUAUGGGAUUAGCUAGUUGGUGGGGUAAGGGCUCACACAGGCGACGAUCCGUCGCUGGUUGGAGAGGAAGACCAGCCACACUGGGACUGAGACACGGCCCAGACUCCUACGGGAGGCAGCAGUGGGGAAUUUUGGACAAUGGGGGAAACCCUGAUCCAGCCAUGCCGCGUGUGCGAUGAAGGCCUUCGGGUUGUAAAGCACUUUUGGCAGGAAAGCGGUACCUGAAGAAUAAGCACCGGCUAACUACGUGCCAGCAGCCGCGGUAAUUC
rnacentral:rRNA from 1 species